UUCCCUGUGGUCUAGUGGCUAAGACUCUGUGCUUCCAAUGCAGGGGGCCCGGGGUUCAAUCCCUGGUUGGGGAA
rnacentral:tRNA from 1 species